rnacentral:misc_RNA from 1 species
CUUUCCACACCCUGUUCUCUUUAUAAGCCCCCGCUCCCCGCGCGGCUAGCUCCAUCCAUGCAACACUCUCCCCCUCCUCUCCUCCUCGUCGUCUAUGGUCUUCGCGUUCCCACCGCCAACAACACCAGCGCGCCUAGGUUGCUAGCUCACCAUGGCCUUGGCAUCCACCGCAAGGGCGGCAGCGGCAGUGGCGGCGACGGCGAUUCAUCAGCAAUGCGGGGGAGCGACGGCCGCGCAUACGCAGCAGCGGCGAGCCCGGUGCCGCGCGGCGGCUGCCAGCGUCGCCGCGGCGUGCGCGCCGGUGAAGGCAGUGGGGCCACGGCGCGGGGCGCGGAGCACCACGGGCACGGCGCCCGUGGUGGCGGGCAUGUGGCGGCAGCUGCAGGGGUGCGACGACUGGCAGGGGCUGCUGGAUCCGGCGGCGGCGGCGCACCCGGUGCUGCGCGCCGAGGUGGCGCGCUACGGCGAGCUGGUGCACGCGUGCUACAAGGCGUUCGACCUGGACCCGGCGUCGCGCCGGCACCUCAGCUGCAAGUACGGCCGCGGGCGGCUGCUGGAGGAGGUGGGCAUGGCCGGCGCCGGGUACGAGAUCACGCGCUACGUCUACGCGGCGUCCGACGUGGCGGUGCCCACCAUGGAGCCGUCCACCAGCGGGCGCGGCCGCUGGAUCGGCUACGUGGCCGUGUCCACGGACGAGAUGACGCGGCGGCUAGGCAGGCGCGACGUCCUUGUCUCGUUCCGCGGCACCGUGACGCCCGCCGAGUGGGUGGCCAACCUCAUGAGCUCGUUGGAGCCGGCGCGCCUGGACCCCUGCGACCCGCGCCCGGACGUCAAGGUGGAGUCGGGGUUCCUCAGCCUCUACACCUCGGUCGACACGACGUGCCGCUUCGGCGGCGCCGGGAGCUGCCGGGAGCAGCUCCUCCGCGAGGUGUCGCGCCUCGUCGGGUCGCGCGCCAAGGACAGGCCCGCAGCAGGCGAGGACGUCAGCGUCACCCUGGCGGGGCACAGCAUGGGGAGCGCGCUGGCGCUGCUCUUCGCGUACGACCUCGCGGAGCUGGGCCUCAACCGCGGCGCGCCCGUCACCGUCUUCUCCUUCGGCGGCCCCAGGGUCGGGAACGCCGCCUUCAAGGCCCGCUGCGACGAGCUGGGCGUCAAGGCGCUGCGCGUGGCCAACGUCCACGACCCCAUCACCAAGCUCCCGGGCAUCUUCCUCAACGAGGCCACGGCCGGGGUGCAGGCGCUGCGCCCGUGGCGCGCCUCCUGCUACACCCACGUCGGCGUGGAGCUGCCCCUCGACUUCUUCAGGAUGGGCGACCUGGCCAGCGUCCACGACCUCGGCACGUACGUCGCAUUGCUCAAGAGCGGCGACAAGGCGGGCGCGGCCUGGCGCGGCGACUGCGGCGUUCUGGCGAAGGUGGUCGAGUUCGUGGGGCGGCAACGCGCGGGCGCCUUGCCGUGGCAGGACGCCGCCCUGCAGAUGGGCGGCCUGGUGCAGACUCUGGGGCUCAUCUGAGUCUGGCAUCAGCAACCGGCGGCCGAGAUUUAACACGGCCAGGCCAGCAGCAGCAGCCCAGCACCCAGCACCCAGCAGUGGUCCUCUUGGAUAAUUUUAUUUACUCUUUUGGAGGAUCCCUUCCCUGGUCGUUUUUUUUCGGCAUUUCUUCUGUACAGAUCCAUUGAUCGAUCAACGUAGCCUGAUAUCUUCACAGGGGCGACAUCAAAAGGGAAUUUCUUCGUUUUAGAUUCGUUUUUUGUUGGCACAGAUACAGUGUACAGCCGGUAACCAUAUAACAGAAGCAAAGCUUGCUGGAAACAGAGCAGACAAACACGCAACAGAAGCCAUGUCAUCCGUUUUAUUUUACUCGAAAAACAAAG